rfam:Capsicum annuum cultivar Zunla-1 chromosome 5, whole genome shotgun sequence
UGAUUGUGAUGAGGAUAAAUUCUGGGCAUGCCUUCAAAUCUCUCCCAUGCUUGAUAGAGAUUUUCUUUAUCUUUUUGUCUGAAACUUAAAAUAUCACUCCUCAAUCA